GCAGCCGCGGCGGUUAAUGAUGCGGCGGCAGAAGCGGAUCUUAGUUCCCUGACCAGGGAUUGAGCCUGGGGCCGCAGCAGUGAAAACGCCAAGUCCUAACCACUGGACCGUGAGGGAACUCCCAAAAAUCAAUCUUCACAGCAUGUUCACCAGGAGUAGAUUCCACCUCAAGAGACCACUUUCUUUGCUCCUCCAUAAGGAGUAACUCCAUAUCUGUUCAAGUUUUAUCACGAACCCCUCAAAGUCAUCUAUGAAGGUUGGGAAUAAACCUCUUCCAAACUCCUGCUGAUAUUGAAAUUUGACCUCUUCCCAUGAAGCACAAAUAUUCUUUUUUUUUUUUUUUGGCCACGCUACGUGGCUUGUGGGGUUUUCGUUCUCCAACUAGGGAUCGAACCCGGGCCCUUGGCAGUGAGAGCAUGGAGUCCUAACCACUGGACCGCCAGGGAUUUACCCACAAAUAUUCUUAACAGCAUCUAGAAUGAUGAGUCCUUUCCAGAAGGUUUUCAAUUGACUUUGCCCAGAUCCAUCAGAGGAAUUACUAUCUAUUGCAGCUAUAGCCUUACGAAAUGUAUUUCUUAAAUAAUAAUGAAGCUGCACACCCAGAUAGGGACUUGAACCCACUGUCUUUUAAUUGUGAUCACACACUUGGUCUCAGGACUUAAUGAA